UGGACAAUUAAACGGCCGCGGUACCCUAACCGUGCAAAGGUAGCAUAAUCAUUUGUCUACUAAUUAUAGACCUGUAUGAAAGGCAAAAUGAGGGCUUAACUGUCUCUUGUAGUAAAUCAAUUAAACUGAUCUCCUAGUAAAAAAGCUAGGAUUACCCCAUAAGACCAGAAGACCCUGUGAAGCUUAAACUAAACUAUUAAAUCUAAUAAUAAUUACUUUAGGUUGGGGCGACCUUGGAAAAAAGAAUAACUUCCAAAAUCCAAUGACAAAACAGGCCAACAAGCCAACUAUAAAAGACCCAGCAACGCUGAAAAUUGAACCAAGUUACUCCAGGGAUAACAGCGCAAUCUUCUUCAAGAGCCCAUAUCAAAAAGAAGGUUUACGACCUCGAUGUUGGAUCAGGACAUCCUAAUGGUGCAGAAGCUAUUAAGGGUUCGUUUGUUCAACGAUUAACAGUCCUACGUGAUCUG
rnacentral:rRNA from 1 species